rnacentral:lncRNA from 1 species
UGGGGACCCAUUCCUGAAAGCAGUUCAGAAGUUAUGCAGACAUUGAGAUCGAAUCUUGAAGCAGUACCUCUCCGAGCAUAGCAGUGAUAAGAACUGCUUCCAGGUCUGGGUGGACGUGAACCUGAGCGGAGCCUGAAGGCGUUAAAGCCAAGCUGACCAACAAAACUUCUAAAAUAUGACUACAGUGAGGAUUUUAGCUCCACGAUGCUGCCAUGCUGGGAUGUGACAGGCUUCCUACCCAGGUCUGGAAGGUGCUCAAUGAUGUUAGCAGCAAACAUAAACCCC